rnacentral:rRNA from 1 species
UGAGUAACCUGCCCUUAACUCUGGGAUAAGCCUGGGAAACUGGGUCUAAUACCGGAUAUGACUCCUCAUCGCAUGGGUGGGGGGUGGAAAGCUUUAUUGUUGGUUUUGGAUGGACUCGCGGCCUAUCAGCUUGUUGGUGAGGUAAUGGCUCACCAAGGCGACGACGGGUAGCCGGCCUGAGAGGGUGACCGGCCACACUGGGACUGAGACACGGCCCAGACUCCUACGGGAGGCAG